CUGUGACCUCUUACAGAGGAGGAAAGUGCAUGGACUUCCAGCUUCUAGAACUGGGAUACAAUAAACUCCUCUUGCUUGUCUAUUCCUCUGCAGUAUUUUGUCAUGGCAGCCCUAGCAAACUACUACAGGGACUGUGGGGGUUAGGAUGACACCAAGCAUCAAAUGCCACUCCCUGUUCCAACACUGAGACCAUUCCACAGCCCCUGAAUGACAAGACAGGCCUUCAAGCUCAAGACUACUUGGCUAGGUUGGCAUAUUUCAUGAAGGCAUCAACCUGUUUGUUAAAGUUUUGGAAGUCUAUAGACAGUUCAGUGAUAUAAUCUUGAACUGCUCAGAAACUUGUAUGCAAGAGUACUUGUCAGCAUCUUUUCCAUAAAUCUUUUGAAAUAGAAGCAAUUUUGAACUGUAGCUGAUUGCAGAUGCUUUCAGGAAGAAUCAAAACAACUAUCUGUGAAUGACCAUCAUGUAAAAUGACUAUUGUUAAAACUCUGAUAAAGAGCCCGCAUCGCCAAGUCAAUCCUAAGCCAAAAGAACAAAGCUGGAGGUAUCACACUACCUGACUUCAAACUAUACUACAAGGC
rnacentral:lncRNA from 10 species